rnacentral:misc_RNA from 1 species
GAUGAAGAACGCAGCGAAAUGCGAUACGUAAUGUGAAUUGCAGAAUUCAGUGAAUCAUCGAAUCUUUGAACGCACAUUGCGCCCUCUGGUAUUCCGGGGGGCAUGCCUGUCCGAGCGUCAUUUGCAACCCUCAAGCCCGGCUUGUGUGAUGGGUGCCGUCCCCUACGGGACGCGCCCCGAAGGCAAUGGCGGCGUCGCGGUUAUCCGAUCAGCCAAAGUGUAUGGGGCUUUGUCACUCACUUUACGGCCCGGACCGGCGCCAGUCCGAAUCAAUCUUUUUUCUAAAGUUGACCUCGGAUCAGGUAGGGAUACCCGCUGAACUUAAGCAUAUCAAUAAGCGGAGGA